rnacentral:rRNA from 1 species
AGAGUUUGAUCCUGGCUCAGGACGAACGCUGGCGGUGUGCUUAGUGCAUGCAAGUCGCACGGGCAGCCUUCGGGUUGUCAGAGGCGCACGGCUGAGGAACACGUGGGUUAUCUGCCCUGGGGUGGGGGAUAACGCGCCGAAAGGUGCGCUAAUCCCGCAUACGUUUGCUCAUUAUAGUGCAAAGAAAGCUUCCAAGCGCCCUAGGAGGAGCCUGCGCCCCAUCACGGUAGUUGGUAGGGUAACGGCCUACCAAGCCUUUGACGGGUCCCUGGUCUGAGAGGACGACCAGGCAGACUGGGACUGAGAUACGGCCCAGACUCCUACGGGAGGCAGCAGCAAGGAAUUUUCGGCAAUGGGCGCAAGCCUGACCGAGCAACACCGCGUGCGGGACGAAGGCCUUCGGGUUGUAAACCGCUUUUGCAAAGGACGAAUUUUUGACGGUACUUUGCGAAUAAGCCCCGGCUAACUCCGUGCCAGCAGCCGCGGUAAGACGGAGGGGGCAAGCGUUGUCCGGACUCACUGGGCGUAAAGCGUGCGUAGGCGGUAGGAUGCGUCGGUACUGAAAGCUCCUUGCUUAACAAGGAAGGGCGUAUCGAUACGAUCCAACUCGAGGAAGUGGGAGGUUGGCAGAAUUCCGGGUGUAGUGGUGAAAUGCGUAGAUAUCCGGAGGAAUACCGGUGGUGUAGACGGCCAACUAAGACUUUCCUGACGCUGAGGCACGAAAGCGUGGGUAGCGAACCGGAUUAGAUACCCGGGUAGUCCACGCAGUAAACUAUGUCGGCUCGGUGUGCGGCGCUGAUUAUACAGCGCGGCGUGCCUAAGCUUACGCGGUAAGCCGACCGCCUGGGGACUACGAGCGCAAGCUUAAAACUCAAAGGAAUUGACGGGGGCCCGCACAAGCAGCGGAGCGUGUGGUUUAAUUCGACAACGCGAAGAACCUUACCCAGGCUUGACAUGUUCCUGCAAGCGCACAGAAAUGUGUGACCUUCGAGGGUGGAACACAGGUGCUGCAUGGCUGUCGUCAGCUCGUGUCGUGAGUUGUUGGGUUAAGUCCCGCAACGAGCGCAACCCCCGCCGCCAGUUACAAGUGUCUGGCGGGACAGCCACCUUUUCGGUGGAGGAAGGCGGGGAUGACGUCAAGUCAGCAUGGCCCUUACGCCUGGGGCUACACACACGCUACAAUGACCGUGACAAUGCGUUGCAACUUCGCAAGAAGUAGCUAAUCGCCAAACACGGUCCCAGUGCAGAUCGGGGGCUGCAACUCGCCCCCGUGAAGAUGGAGUUGCUAGUAACCGCGUAUCAGCCAUGGCGCGGUGAAUACGUACCCGGGCCUUGUACACACCGCCCGUCACGUCAUGGGAGUUGGUAAUGCCUGAAGUCCGUCAGCUAACCCGCAAGGGAGGCAGCGGCCGAAGGCAGGACUAGCGACUGGGACGAAGUCGUAACAAGGUA